rnacentral:rRNA from 1 species
UCGAGCGCCCUACUUCGGUAGGGAGCGGCGGACGGGUGAGUAACGCGUGGGAACGUGCCCUUUAGUUCAGAAUAGCCACUGGAAACGGUGAGUAAUACUGAAUACGCCCUUCGGGGGAAAGAUUUAUCGCUAAAGGAUCGGCCCGCGUUGGAUUAGCUAGUUGGUGGGGUAAAGGCCUACCAAGGCAACGAUCUAUAGCUGGUCUGAGAGGAUGAUCAGCCACACUGGGACUGAGACACGGCCCAGACUCCUACGGGAGGCAGCAGUGGGGAAUAUUGGACAAUGGGGGCAACCCUGAUCCAGCCAUGCCGCGUGAGUGAAGAAGGCCCUAGGGUUGUAAAGCUCUUUCAGAUGUGAGGAUGAUGACAGUAGCAUCAGAAGAAGCACCGGCUAACUUCGUGCCAGCAGCCGCGGUAAUACGAAGGGUGCUAGCGUUGUUCGGAAUUACUGGGCGUAAAGGGCGUGUAGGCGGAUGAUCAAGCUAGAGGUGAAAGCCCAGGGCCUAACCCUGGAACUGCCUUUAGAACUGAUUGUCUAGAAUCCGUAAGGGGAGUGUGGAAUUCCUAGUGUAGAGGUGAAAUUCGUAGAUAUUAGGAAGAACACCAGUGGCGAAGGCGGCACUCUGGUACGGUAUUGACGCUGAGGCGCGAAAGCGUGGGGAGCAAACAGGAUUAGAU